rnacentral:rRNA from 1 species
UGCCAGCAGCCGCGGUAAUACGUAGGGUGCAAACAUUAUCCGGAUUUAUUGGGCGUAAAGAGCUCGUAGGUGGUUUUGUAAGUUGAAUAUGAAAGACCUAGGCCCAACCUAGGGAACGUAUCCAAAACUACAUUACUCGAGGUAUACAGGGGAAGAUGGAACUUAUGGUGUAGCAGUGAAAUGCGUAGAUAUCAUAAGGAACGCCGAUGGUGAAGACAGUCUUCUGGGUAUUACCUGACACUGAGGAGCGAAAGCGUGGGGAGCAAACGGGAUUAGAUACCCCGGUAGUCCACGCCGUAAACGAUGCAUACUAGGAAUUCGGAGAAUCGACCCUCUGGGUUUCGAAGCUAACGCGUUAAGUAUGCCGCCUGGGUAGUACGGCCGCAAGGCUAAAACUCAAAGGAAUUGACGGGGGCCCGCACAAGC